AGUCUCGGCCAGAACACAGGCCCAGCAGGAUCAUCGCACACGCACACGAGGAGUGCGCGCGGAGUGCGUGGAUCGAACGGGCCGACACGACGCCUCACGCGCCGGAUCGCCGGGCGAGUGCCAGGCACUCACGGUGUUGCGGUGUAAGGUGCACUCUCCCCGCCGCCCCCGUUCCGCGCGCACGAGGACGCUCGCGCGAGCGAAGAAGGCGCCCGACGAUCCCAAGUUACUCGAUUUUUUCAAUUUGCUUUUGAAUGUGCGCGGAAUUUUUAUUUUUUCUUUUUCGCUCUUGUUGAAGAUCCGACUGUGCGGACAACCGCGAAGAUCGAGGGGGGGAAAGACACUCGAGGAGGAAGACGACGCCGAAGAGUAACCCGCGGACAACACCGCAGAGACUGUGUUGCACCAGCUCUUAGUUUCAGGUUAGGAGCCUGCUAGGACGGGUCUCGUUCUCUCUUCUUGGGGUCAUCCGGACGAGAGCGGACGAAAGGGUACGCAACCCGGGUGCGUCAGUGGUACCACGAGGAAGGAGAAGACGACAGAAAAGGGGAGGAUACUGAAGGAUGCAGCUGUCUCUUAUCGCUCUGCCCUUCGACAAGAGGAGGUGUUGGACAUGACGUCCGGCUUGCUAUCAGGUGGAUGUCGAUGAGGCUCAAGAGACUCUGCUGGAGAACGGAUUACGAGGGAAACGGAUUUUCGACUCGCGUGGCGUAUCGAUCAAGUGUUGCACUGAGUGUCACCAAAGUGCUCCGAAUCCCGAAGUGAUCUUCCUCGUGACUGGUGACGAGACUCCGUGUUCGUGUCAUCGUGAUUGGUUUUCUUCUUUUUGUGUGGUCGAUUAUACACCUCAAGUGCGUGAGUGUCGCGGACUUGGUCCUUGUUAGCGACGAGUGAGAAACAUUGCCCUCGUACCGUGAUGCGUGCCGUGUGAUGCGGCAGCGGGUAGACGUCUGCACGCAUUAUCGUUACGUGAACGAGGAGGGCAACGGCGACGCGGAGCUCGACGUCAAGAUCGGCGGACUGUCUGCGCGAGAUUUCGCAAUCGUGAUGAGUCCGCGGAUGGUCCGGCCCAGGAGCACCGCGACCCUUUAAUAGUGCUGACUGAUGACACGGUGACGAAUGAUCCGGAUCACCACGAUCCGUCGAUCGAGGAAGAUCGAGACGACGUUCAGCACAGUGGUGAUGAUGCCGUGGUACCGAGCACGUUUUCGACCAACGUGAGACCACCUGGCCCUGAUCCGUCAGAGUUCCCAGAGUGUCGUCAGAGUGUCGCUCCAGUUUGAUUCGGCGUUGCUUGGACGAAUCGUGACGCGCUACGUUUCAGCGCAGAUGAUCGGCUCGUGC